rnacentral:rRNA from 1 species
ACGGCUCAGUAACACGUCGAUAAUCUGCCCUUAGGUUAGGAAUAACUUCGGGAAACUGAGGCUAAUACCUUAUAUGGGAAUUCAACUGGAAGGUGUUUUCCCUUAAACGUAAGGCCUAAGGAUGAGUCGGCGGUCGAUUAGGUAGUUGGUGAGGUAAAGGCUCACCAAGCCUAUGAUCGAUAGGGGCCUUGAGAGAGGUAGCCCCGAGAAGGGCACUGAGAUACUGGCCCUAGCCCCACGGGGUGCAGCAGGCGCGAAACCUUUACAAUGCACGAAAGUGUGAUAGGGGGAUCCUAAGUGCUUGUAGUUUCUACAAGCUUUUGCCAAGAGAAAAUAUCUUGGCGAAUAAGUGGUGGGCAAGACUUGUGCCAGCCGCCGCGGUAACACCAGCGCCACAAGUGGCAAUCACUUUUAUUGGGCCUAAAGCGUCCGUAGCCGGUUCAGUAAAUUUUCUGUGAAAUCGCCAGGCUUAACCUGGUGGCGUGCAGAAGACACUGCAGGGCUAGGGACCGGGAGGAGUCAGAGGUAUGGGGUGGGGAGCGGUAAAAUGUGAUAAUCCACCCUAGACCACCUGUGGCGAAGGCGUCUGACCAGAACGGGUCCGACGGUGAGGGACGAAAGCUAGGGGAGCGAUCCGGAUUAGAUACCCGAGUAGUCCUAGCUGUAAACGCUGCGAGCUAGGUGUCGCGUAUUCUACGUGAAUACGCGGUGUCGAAGCGAAGGCGAUAAG